GAUGAACGCUGGCGGCGUGCCUAAUACAUGCAAGUCGAGCGAACGGACGAGAAGCUUGCUUCUCUGACGUUAGCGGCGGACGGGUGAGUAACACGUGGAUACCCUACCUAUAAGACUGGGAUAACUUCGGGAAACCGGAGCUAAUACCGGAUAAUAUUUUGAACCGCAUGGUUCAAUAGUGAAAGACGGUCUUGCUGUCACUUAUAGAUGGAUCCGCGCUGCAUUAGCUAGUUGGUAAGGUAACGGCUUACCAAGGCAACGAUGCAUAGCCGACCUGAGAGGGUGAUGGGCCACACUGGAACUGAGACACGGUCCAGACUCCUACGGGAGGCAGCAGUAGGGAAUCUUCCGCAAUGGGCGAAAGCCUGACGGAGCAACGCCGCGUGAGUGAUGAAGGUCUUCGGAUCGUAAAACUCUGUUAUUAGGGAAGAACAUAUGUGUAAGUAACUGUGCACAUCUUGACGGUACCUAAUCAGAAAGCCACGGCUAACUACGUG
rnacentral:rRNA from 1 species